CAGUCGCCGCGGUAAUACGGAGGGUGCAAGCGUUAAUCGGAAUUACUGGGCGUAAAGCGCACGCAGGCGGUCUGACAAGUCAGAUGUGAAAUCCCCGGGCUUAACCUGGGAACUGCAUUUGAAACUGUCAGGCUGGAGUCUUGUAGAGGGGGGUGGAAUUCCAAGUGUAGCGGUGAAAUGCGUAGAGAUCUGGAGGAAUACCGGUGGCGAAGGCGGCCCCCUGGACAAAGACUGACGCUCAGGUGCGAAAGCGUGGGGAGCAAACAGGAUUAGAUACCCCUGUAGUCCCUGUCUCUUAUAC
rnacentral:rRNA from 1 species